AGCAGCCGCGGUAAUUCCAGCUCCAAUAGCGUAUAUUAAAGUUGCUGCAGUUAAAAAGCUCGUAGUUGAAUUUCGGGACCAAUAUGUCGGUCAUGCCUCGGUACGUACUGGCAUCGUUGGUUUCUCCCUUCUGACGAACCAUGAUGUCAUUUAUUUGGUGUCGUGGGGAAUCAGGACUGUUACUUUGAAAAAUUAGAGUGUUUAAAGCAGGCUCACGCUUGAAUACAUUAGCAUGGAAUAAUGAAAUAGGACGUUUGAUUUUAUUUUGUUGGUUUCUAGGAUCGACGUAAUGAUUAAUAGGGAUAGUUGGGGGCAUUAGUAUUCAAUUGUCAGGGGUGAAAUUCUUGGAUUUAUUGAAGACUAACUACUGCGAAAGCAUUUGCCAAGGAUGUUUUCAUUAAUCAAGAACGAAAGUUAGGGGAUCGAAGACGAUCAGAUACCGUCGUAGUCUUAACCAUAAACUAUGCCGACUAGGGAUCGGAUGAUGUUUAAUUUUUUAAUGUACUCA
rnacentral:rRNA from 1 species